rnacentral:rRNA from 1 species
GAUGAACGCUGGCGGCGUGCCUAAUACAUGCAAGUCGAGCGGACGGACGAGAAGCUUGCUUCUCUGAUGUUAGCGGCGGACGGGUGAGUAACACGUGGAUAACCUACCUAUAAGACUGGGAUAACUUCGGGAAACCGGAGCUUAUACCGGAUAAUAUUUUGAACCGCAUGGUUCAAAAGUGAAAGACGGUCUUGCUGUCACUUAUAGAUGGAUCUGCGCUGCAUUAGCUAGUUGGUAAGGUAACGGGUUACCAAGGCAACGAGGCAUAGCCGAGCUAAGAGGGUGAUAGGCCACCCGGGAACUGGAACACGGUCCAGACUACUACGGGAGGCAGCAGAAGGGAAUGUUCCGCAAUGGGCGAAAGCCUGACGGAGCAACGCCGCGUGAGAGAUGAAGGUCUUCGGAUCGUAAAACUCUGUUAUUAGGGAAGAACAUAUGUGUAAGUAACUGUGCACAUCUUGACGGUACCUAAUCAGAAAGCCACGGCUAACUACGUG